rnacentral:rRNA from 1 species
GCGUCUUAAGCAUGCAAGUCAAACGGGAUGUAGCAAUACAUCUAGUGGCGAACGGGUGAGUAACGCGUGGAUGAUCUACCUACGAGAUGGGGAUAACUAUUAGAAAUAGUAGCUAAUACCGAAUAAAGUCAAUUGAUUUGUUAAUUGAUGAAAGGAAGCCUUUAAAGCUUCGCUUGUAGAUGAGUCUGCGUCUUAUUAGUUAGUUGGUAGGGUAAAUGCCUACCAAGGCGAUGAUAAGUAACCGGCCUGAGAGGGUGAACGGUCACACUGGAACUGAGAUACGGUCCAGACUCCUACGGGAGGCAGCAGCUAAGAAUCUUCCGCAAUGGGCGAAAGCCUGACGGAGCGACACUGCGUGAAUGAAGAAGGUCGAAAGAUUGUAAAAUUCUUUUAUAAAUGAGGAAUAAGCUUUGUAGGAAAUGACGAAGUGAUGACGUUAAUUUAUGAAUAAGCCCCGGCUAAUUACGUGCCAGCAGCCGCGGUAAUACGUAAGGGGCGAGCGUUGUUCGGGAUUAUUGGGCGUAAAGGGUGAGUAGGCGGAUAUAUAAGUCUAUGCAUAAAAUACCACAGCUCAACUGUGGAACUAUGUUGGAAACUAUAUGUCUAGAGUCUGAUAGAGGAAGUUAGAAUUUCUGGUGUAAGGGUGGAAUCUGUUGAUAUCAGAAAGAAUACCGGAGGCGAAGGCGAACUUCUGGGUCAAGACUGACGCUGAGUCACGAAAGCGUAGGGAGCAAACAGGAUUAGAUACCCUGGUAGUCUACGCUGUAAACGAUGCACACUUGGUGUUAACUAAAAGUUAGUACCGAAGCUAACGUG